GUGAGGAAUUUUCCGCAAUGGGCGAAAGCCUGACGGAGCAAUGCCGCGUGAAGGAUGAAGGCCUAUGGGUUGUAAACUUCUUUUCUCAGAAAAGAAUUAUGACGGUAUCUGAGGAAUAAGCAUCGGCUAACUCUGUGCCAGCAGCCGCGGUAAGACAGAGGAUGCAAGCGUUAUCCGGAAUGAUUGGGCGUAAAGCGUCUGUAGGUUGUUUAAAAAGUAUGCUGUCAAAGAUUAGGGCUUAACCCUAGAUAGGCAGAAUAAACUUUUAAGCUAGAGUUUGGUAGAGGCAGAGGGAAUUCCCGGUGGAGCGGUGAAAUGCGUAGAUAGCGGGAGGAACACCAAAGGCGAAGGCACUCUGCUGGGCCAAUACUAACACUGAGAGACGAAAGCGAGGGGAGCAAAUGGGAUUAGAUACCCCAGUAGUCC
rnacentral:rRNA from 1 species